rnacentral:rRNA from 1 species
ACCGGCGCACGGGUGAGUAACACGUAUGGAACCUGCCCGUAGCAGGGGGAUAAGCGGAAGAAAUUCCGUCUAAUACCGCGUAAUAACUCCGAGAGGCAUCUCCUGGGGUUUAAAGGGUAACACCGGCUACGGAUGGCCAUGCGGCGCAUUAGCUAGUUGGCGGGGUAACGGCCCACCAAGGCGACGAUGCGUAGGGGUUCUGAGAGGAAGGUCCCCCACACUGGUACUGAGACACGGACCAGACUCCUACGGGAGGCAGCAGUGAGGAAUAUUGGUCAAUGGGCGCGAGCCUGAACCAGCCAAGUCGCGUGAGGGAAGACGGUCCUAUGGAUUGUAAACCUCUUUUGUCGGGGAGCAAAAGACGCCACGCGUGGCGUUCCGAGAGUACCCGAAGAAAAAGCAUCGGCUAACUCCGUGCCAGCAGCCGCGGUAAUACGGAGGAUGCGAGCGUUAUCCGGAUUUAUUGGGUUUAAAGGGUGCGCAGGCGGAAGAUCAAGUCAGCGGUAAAAUUGAGAGGCUCAACCUCUUCGAGCCGUUGAAACUGGUUUUCUUGAGUGAGCGAGAAUAUGCGGAAUGCGUGGUGUACCGGUGAAAUGCAUAGAUNUCACGCANAACUCCGAUUGCGAAGGCAGCAUACCGGCGCUCAACUGACGCUCAUGCNCNAANUUGUGGUNUCGAACAGGAUUAAAUACCCUGGUA